GGGAUUAUGGCUCAGUGGUAUAGAGCUUAUCUAGCAUGUGUAAGGCACUGGGUUUGAUACCCAUAAUCACA
rnacentral:tRNA from 1 species